CAGCUGUGUGUGCCACUGAGGUUUUUAAAAUAGCCACAAGUGCAUACAUUCCCUUGAAUAAUUACUUGGUGUUUAAUGAUGUAGAUGGGCUGUAUACAUACACAUUUGAAGCAGAAAGAAAGGUUAGUACUUGUAGCCAGCUUCCUCAAAAUAUUCAGUUUUCUCCAUCAGCUAAACUACAGGAGGUUUUGGAUUAUCUAACCAAUAGUGCUUCUCUGCAAAUGAAAUCUCCAGCCAUCACAGCCACCCUAGAGGGAAAAAAUAGAACACUUUACUUACAGGUUAUCAAUGUAACGAACAAGGCCAAAUCUCUCCAAAACAUUGAAAGAAUUGGGGCUUGUUGAUGGACAAGAACUGGCGGUUGCUGAUGUCACCACCCCACAGACUGUACUAUUCAAACUUCAUUUUACUUCUUAAGGAAAAUCUCCACAUAAUAGAAAACUCAUGGAAAUAAUAUACUUUGUGGAUGCUAAGAAGUUGAAUCGAUGUCAUUUUUAGCAAUAGUGUUGCCACGAUUUGUCUUUUUUUAUAUAAUGAACCACUCUUUUUUAACUUUGUAACCUUCCCUUGAAGACAGAAUUUUGGUGUUGGUGCUUGUAAGCAUUUUCAUUAAUAAUAUGAGAAAUGAUACCUGGAGAGAGAGAUUAUGAGCAAAUGUAUUGCUUCUUUUAGAGGAGGAAGCAUACAACCUCUUUUGUGUGAAUUUUGUUAUUAUGGUCAAAGAAUGCAUUCCUAAGUUUUCAUUUGAGUACCCAAAUACACAAAAGGUGUCCCUUUAAGGAAAAUAAAGAAUUAAGUUUUAAAUAACAUUACAUUUUACAAUCUGACAUCUGGAGUAUAUUGAACAUAGGCUAUUUCUUGAUAUAACACUCAUUUAAUUGUGGCCAUCCAAAUGAAUAUUAUUGCAGAAUUUAUCUUGUUCAUAAUGAUUUGUAAAUGGUGUUAUAGCUGAAUACCUGUGCAUGAAAAUGGGCAAUAUUUUCAUCUGUUUACUUGUAGUGCCAUAGAGGCCAAUAUGCACAAUAUUAACUAAUGCCAAGACAUGGCUGUUUAAAAAAUUUAAUGUUCAAACAGUUAUCACUGAUGCUUUUGCACUAUUUAUUAAUAAAAUCAUAU
rnacentral:lncRNA from 1 species